rnacentral:rRNA from 1 species
UACGUAGGCAGCAAGCGUUGUUCGGAGUUACUGGGCGUAAAGAGUGCGUAGGCGGUCCUGUAAGUUUGGUGUGAAAUCUCCCGGCUCAACUGGGAGGGUGCGCCGAAGACUGCAGGGCUUGAGUAUGGGAGAGGUAAGCGGAAUUCCUGGUGUAGCGGUGAAAUGCGUAGAUAUCAGGAGGAACACCUGUGGUAUAGACAGCUUACUGGACCAUCACUGACGCUGAGGCACGAAAGCGUGGGUAGCAAACAGG